AUGUUCCCGGAAAGCCGGAAACUCCUGCGCCUGUUCGGCAUUCCCUACAUCCAGGCUCCUAUGAAAGCAGAGGCACAGUGUGCCAUCCUGGACCUGACUGAUCAGACUUCUGGAACCAUCACUGAUGACAGUGAUAUCUGGCUGUUUGGAGCACGGCAUGUCUUUAAAAACUUUUUUAAUAAAAACAAGUUUGUAGAAUAUCACCAAUAUGUGGACUUUCACAAUCAAUUAGGAUUGGACCGGAAUGAGUUAAUAAAUUUGGCCUAUUUGAUUGGAAGUGAUUAUACUGAAGGAAUACCAACUGUGGGUUGUGUAACCGCCAUGGAAAUUCUCAGUGAAUUUCCCGGGCAUGGCCCGGAACCUCUCCUAAAAUUCUCGGAAUGGUGGCAUGAAGCUCAAAACAAUCCAAAGAUAAGGCCAAAUCCUCAUGACACCAAAGUGAAAAAAAAAAAAAAAAAAUUACUGACAUUGCAACUCACCGCUGGCUUUCCUAAUCCAGCUAUUGCCGAGGCCUACCUCAAACCUGUGGUGGAUGACUCGCGGGGAUCAUUUCUGUGGGGGAAACCUGAUCUCUACAAAAUUAGGGAAUUUUGUCAGCGGUAUUUCUGCUGGAACAGAACGAAGACAGAUGAAUCUCUGUUUCCUGUAUUAAAGCAACUCAAUGCCCAGCAGACAGAGCUCUGAAUUGACUCCUUCUUUAGACUAGCACAACAGGAGAAAGAAGAUGCUUAGCCUAUUAUGAGCCAGAGACUAAACAGAGCUGUGACAUGUAUGCUCAGGAAAGAGAGAGAAGCAGCAGCCAGUGAAAUAGAAGCAGUUUCUGUUGCUAUGGAGAAAGAAUUUGAGAUACUUGAUAAGGCAAAAGGAAAAACCCAGAAAAGAGGCGUAACAAAUACAUCGAAAGAGUCAUCAAGCCUGAAAAGAAAGAGGCUUUCAGAUUCUAAAGGAAAGAAUCUACGUGGUGGAUUUUUGGGGGAGACCUGCCUCUCAGAAUCAUCUGAUGCAUCUUCAAGUGAGGAUGCUGAAAGUUCAUCUUUAGUGAAUAUACAAAGGAGAAAAGCAGUGAAAGAGCCAAAAUUCAAUGCUUCAGCUUCGCAGAACUCACUGAAGGAAGCUCCUGUGAAGUAUGGCCUUGCGACCACCAGCAGCUCUAGUGAUGACAAUGGAGAGGAAGAGAAGACAGUCCUCGUGACUGCCGCAUCUGUGUUUGGGAAGAAAAGAGGGAAACUGAGACGUCUAAGAGGAAGAAAAAGAAAAACUUAAUUUAAAAAUAUGUGUCUUCUAUAAUUAGGUAUGACAGCAUUUGUAAUGAAUUUGUUAAGACAUAAUAAAAUUAACUGUAUUUGCACAGUCAAAAAAAAUCAAAUUGCUAUUUGAUGUUUUUUAACAGCCUAUGGCUCCAGCAUCUUCUGGUCCUGAUAAGCAAAUCUCAGCUAUCACUCAA